rnacentral:rRNA from 1 species
GACGAACGCUGGCGGCGUGCCUAACACAUGCAAGUCGAGCGGAGUCAGUAAGAGGAAGUUUUCGGAUGGAAUCUUAUUGAUUUAGCGGCGGACGGGUGAGUAACGCGUGAGCGACCAACCUUGCACAGGGGGAUAACGGACCGAAAGGUUCACUAAUACCGCAUGAGACCACAGAGGGACAUCCCUCAGGGGUCAAAAGAGUAACAUCUGGCGCAGGAUGAGUUCGCGUCCCAUUAGCUAGUUGGUAGGGUAACGGCCUACCAAGGCGACGACGGGUAGCUGGUCUGAGAGGAUGGUCAGCCGGACUGGGACUGAGAUACGGCCCAGACUCCUACGGGGGGCAGCAAUUAGGAAUCUUGCGCAAUGGGCGAAAGCCUGACGCAGCGACGCCGCGUGACUG